UUGUACCCUUUCACCGCCUUUCUCCUCCUCCGCUGCAGUAGAUUGGAGCUACAAUACACACACAAACAUAAACCCCCUAAAGAAACAAUAUGCAUACAUACAUAACAUGUACAUAUAUAAUAAAAGUAUAAAUAUACAAUUUAUGAAAAAAAAAUCAAAAUCAUAUCAAAUUCCAUGCAAAUUACAGGAAAAUGGUCCACAUAAAGUGAAAAAAAAAUAGGGUCGUUAAGCACUUGAGCGAAGGAAAAGCAAAAGCACACCAUAUUCUUUCGCAAGAAUAUCAAGUCAAACCGAAUAAAAAGGGGGGAAAUGCUAAAAUAAAGGCUUUCAACACAUUACGAGCGUUAGUACACCAAAUUCGAAAACUCACAUUAAGAAACAAUACACACACACACGCAUAUACACAUAUACGAACAAACUUCAAAAUCAUAUCAAAUACAAUCCAACGUACAGCAAUAUGGCCCACAUCACAAAAGACAAAUUAUGAGCGAAAAGAUGCGAAAACUUAGGGUUGUCUCGGCAGAUUACGAGCUAAAGUAAACCACAUUCCCAAAAAAAUAACGAAAAAUUAAACAAAUGGAAACUAGAACAUAUGAAUUGCACAUGCAAGCAAUUUGUAAUGAUAACAACUAAACUUUGAAGGUACCUGCACCCAUGAGUUCGUCGAGUAAAGCUCUCUGGGCGUCCAUGGUUGGCUAGGGUCUAGAGAUUCUUGAGUGAGAUAGUAUCAGAGGUAUUUGUGAGAAACCCUAGUUUGGUGUUUGGAUACGUUUCUUCUUCUAUUAUUAAAUAAUUACAAAGUUACAAAUCCUAAUAUAAAUAUUUAGUUUAAUAAUUUUUACAAUUUUUUUUUUUAAUUGCAUUCUUUUUUGUCUUUAUUAUAGUGAAUUUAUUUAAAUAUCUAUUUUUAUACAAAUGUUUACACUAUAUCGAACGAUAUUUCAGUAAAUUCACCCUAACAAAGACAAAAAAUAAAAUGUAAUUAGAUAAAAAAAAACUAUAUAAAUCAUAAACAAUGCUUACCAUAAAUAUAUAUACUGGGGUAUAAGUAUAAUUAGUAUAAUUAUUAAGGAUGUUAUAAUAAACUUAUAUUGAGUGCGGAUCGGGUUGGGUUUUCGGCCGGAUUUUUUUGUAAAAUUCUUACCUUAUCCACUUUUGGUCGUGUAGUUAUUUUAGAAACUUAUAUCCUAUCGGGUAAAAAAUUUCUUUAGAAAAUACACUAACAAUCUUCUAAUAUGUACCAGAAAAAAAAUCCAACUCAAUUAAUGAUCUAAUUUUUCUUUUUGUAUUUCCUAUUAAUUUGUGUAAAAAUGAAAUAUUUAUGAUAAAUAAUCCUAGGACAGUUAGGAAUAGCUAUUAUUUCGAAUUUCAACCUCAUAUGGGAACCCCAAAUAUUUUGUAUUUUUUUAUAUAGUUAACUGCUUAGUUCCAAUCCAAUAAUUAUAAAAAAAAUUAAGUUAGUUUUUUUAUGUCUCGUAAUAGAAAGAGAAUUGUUACCAUAUACGUGAUAAUAAAAUAGUAAAGAAAACUAAGGAAUCUUAAUUUUAUUUUUUAGUUAUUUAAUAUACUAUUUAGACUACAUAAUAGGAUUUUUAUUAUAUAAUUGAUUAAAUUUUUAUUUUAUAACAAUUUAUUCGAAGGUAUAAACCGUAUAAUGUUUUAAUCUUUAUUUAAUACUUUUUAAUAAAAGAUCAACAAUACUAUUUUAUAAUAUGUGAUAUAACUGAACCUCCUAAAAAUACAUAAAUUUAUGUUGUAUUUGGAUUAAAAAUAGAAAAAUUAGACAAUUCAGCCAUUCGGGAUCAUUCGAUUAUCUAACUUUUUUAUUUUUGAACCACGCGGGAUGGCAAGGUUUUAUCACAACUUCAGCACGACCAACAGUUUGGAAGCCGAACUGCAUGCGAUAAUGGAUGGUCUACAACUCUUAGGCACAUUUAUCACGAGGCCAACUUGUGCACGGAUAUUCUUGCAAAUUUGGGAGUCGUUGCAGGUGGUUUUGAAGUCUUUUGCAAAUGCUCCGAGCUGUGUGGCUCACCAACUCCACGAGGAUGCUAUAGUGUUGAGUAUUCGAGACAAAUGAAGAGGAACGCGACAGAGGGAAAUGAAGAGGAACGCGACGAGGAGUGAUGCACCAGCGUUCGGAGCACAUUCAAGCCAAUGGUGGGCCCCGGACCCGAUUUAUAUCUCGAUUUUGGGAUUAUGGAAUUCUUGAAUGAAUUUUAUGAUCAUGUAAAGUUUGUGGAAGUAUCCCAAAUGCAUAUUACCACAAAAGCUUUGAAUCUUCUUGUGAUCUUUUCGUAACGUUUCACGAUUUUUAUUAAUACUUCAUUUUGAGGUUCUCCAUGGAACUUAAAAAGCUUGCAAUUUGCUCCUCUAAACAGAAACAAAAUGGACGUGCAUGAAGUAUAUGCAUAGAAUGACCACUCACAGUGGAAUGGGGAAAGCCAUUACCAAAAACAUGUUUCUUUUAACGGCUCCAUAUUUAUCUAUAAACAUAUCG
rnacentral:lncRNA from 1 species